AACGAACGCUGGCGGCAUGCCUAACACAUGCAAGUCGAACGAGAAGUCCAGGUGCAUUGUCGUACGGGUUUGUAGCGCGUCGGAUCCUGCCCUUAGGGUCGGAAUAACUCCACGAAAGGGGUGAUAACGCCGGACAACGUCUAGGGACGAAAGAUUUAUCGCAUGUGAAUGGGCACUCGUUGGAUUAGCUUGUUGGUAGGGUAAAAGCCUACCAAGGCGACGAUCAAUAGCUUGGUAGAGAGGAAGAUCAGCCACACUGGGACUGGGACACGGCCCAGACUCCUGCGGGAGGCAGCAGUGCAGAAUAGUGGACAAUGGGCUAAAGCCUGAUCGAGCUAUGCCGCGUGAGCGAUGAAGGCCUUAGGGUUGUAAAGCUCUUUUACCCGGGAUGAUAAUGACAGUACCGGGCGAAUAAGCUCCGGCUAACUCCGUG
rnacentral:rRNA from 1 species